rnacentral:rRNA from 1 species
UACGUAGGGGGCUAGCGUUGUCCGGAUUUAUUGGGCGUAAAGAGCGUGUAGGCGGCCAGGUAGGUCUGCUGUGAAAACUCGAGGCUCAACCUCGAGACGUCGGCGGAAACCGUCUGGCUAGAGUCCGGAAGAGGAGAGUGGAAUUCCCGGUGUAGCGGUGAAAUGCGCAGAUAUCAGGAAGAACACCUAUGGCGAAGGCAGCUCUCUGGGACGGUACUGACGCUGAGACGCGAAAGCGUGGGGAGCGAACAGG